CGCAGAAUUGCGGGCACUCCGAGGGUGGUCCAGCGCGCGUCGGAGUCGUCGCGCUCUCCGAUCGGGAUUCGCGAACGUGUCUUCGCCGUGGCCGUCGCUGUCGCUGUCGUCGUCAUUGCCGUCGACACUGUCGUGUGUGUCGUGUCGCGCUCUCGUCGCGUCGUUACCAUCACGAGGGAGUCAGCCUGUUUUUUUCCUCCCGGUUGUUCAACCUGGUGUCGAAUUUUCGACGAAACGUGUUUGCGCGCGCGCGCGCGCGUCUGUGUGUAUGUGCGGCUGAGAGAAGUUUCGAGGAAGUUGCCGACGUGGGGAAUUGGGGAAAGUCAAGCGGCAAAAGUGCGCGAAUGUGCGCGAUCGGUCGACGACAUCGUGUUGUUUCGACGGACCGGUUGUGUUGCAGCAUCGCUAAAUAGUUGCGUGGUUAGGAGAGGGACGAGAGAAAAAUCAUCGACCAAGAAAAUUUCAUACACCGGGACUGACCCUUGACUUUGCGUUGCCUCGAUUUACGAUCGCGACACGACCUCGCGAGUAAGAAGAAGCCAUCGCCGGCGGGAAAGUGCAUAAAGCGAGUGCGAAACCAUUUACCAGGCUCCUUCGUGCGCUUUUUUUUAUUUUGUUCCCCCAUUGUCGGUUUUAUUACCAUUUUAUGUCGAAGACGAGGCUGGCGAGAGAAAGCGUGUAAACGCGCGAAUCGGCUCGAUAAUUUAUGAAAACGCCAGAAGUUUUAAUGAAUUGUUAUUACAUGCAAGCAGUUCGAAAUAACGUCAUUGAGUGCACUUUGAGGCGCGACCAGCGGCCUUUUUCGUCGCGCGAAGUCGACGAACGUUCGCGUGUGAUGGUUCGAUGUGACACGACGCUGAAGAAUCGCGACGGAUCGAAAUUAUUCGCGGCGUCCUCGAGUGAAACUCUGAGGGAGGGACUCUGACUCGUCGAAGGAAACGCGAGAUUUCGAUGGCGAGAUAGAAAUAUCUCCAGUCAAUUUAACAUUGGACCAAUUACUCCAGAUGGAGCUCUCGGUUCGUCCUACGAAAUCCGAGGAAACCGUAGAAAUGUCACCUUAGUGAACUUGUCACCAAGACUACUCUAGAGACGAUCGAUAACAACGAGCGAUAACGAGGUAAUUUUAGUUCGGUGAAAUUGGGAUAGAGGAGAGCUCUCG
rnacentral:lncRNA from 1 species